UGAUGACCUGGAAACCUUUGCUUAUCA
rnacentral:piRNA from 1 species